AUGGCACCGACCACCCGAGUCCAGGCUGCUUGCCUCUGCUUCCUCCUGCUCUCUAGUUGGGUUUGCUGUUCUGUUCUCCCAAGCAAGACACAAGACCUCGUGGAGACUCCCUUCCAGGAAGCGGCUCCAGCGGCUCACAAUGGCUUGACGGUGAGAGAUUUCUGCAAGGCGGGCAGCCCAUUUCUCCAUCAUUCUGCCCCUACCCCCAUCAAUCCACUGACCUGUCUCUUUCCCUGCAGCCCCUGCUUCAGAGGACAAAGAGGUUCAACUCUCACUUUCCCAUCUGCUCCUUCUGCUGUAAUUGCUGUCACAACACAAACUGUGGCAUCUGCUGCCGGGUAUGACCUGAGCCCAUCAUCUCCUCUCAGGCUCCCCUGCCCCCUUCGCUGUCUAAUUUAUUCCCUCCCCUCGCCCCUUCCUGUGGUGAUUGUCUCUAAAUAAAACGGAACGCUUUCUCUGGAAAUCUCCAGCAUUUUCUCGUCUUUCUUGAAAACGCCGCCUCCAUUUUGGCUCCUCUCACCUCCCCGGCCCCCAUGGGAAGCCUGGAGCUUCCUUCCACCUGCACCUGCCGUCUCAGGAGGGCAGGGUGGACCCAAAUGGCAUGUGGAAAUCCCGGCAGGAGGGCUGGGAAGGGGGGGCAGCUCUUCCCCUAUGACUUUUGGGGACGAGGUCUUUCUUCAUAUCCGCGUGCUGGGAAAUGGGUUGCCUGGUGGAAGCAAGGACCAGGAUGAAGCAGGAGAAAGAUGCACGCCUCCGCCUUGGGCCCCAACUACCUCCAGCCUCCUGGUCCCUCCACCUUCUCCUACUUCCUCAGCUUUCUGGAUCAGGGCACUCCCGAGACUGCCCAGGCUUCCACCUGGGGGCGACCGCCCGUCUCCUCCUCAAUCCCCCUUGCCCCGCUGUAGCCACUGUUUCUGUGUGGCUUAAUUCACAGCCAUUUCCUUCUUUCUCUUUCACCUUCUGUCUCCACGGUGUAAGGAUCAGGGAUUUUCUAUGGUUUGUUAAUGAUGGAGAAGAGGAUCUACAAGCUCAGGAAUAUUUUGGCCAGGAGGGUCUACAAAAGAAGUCUUCCUAGGCCCAAGCUUGGUGGUCCUAAUCUUUUUUUUAAUCCUCACCUCCUGUCUUAGAAUCAAUACUGUGUAUUGGUUCCAAGGUGGGUAAGGGCUAGGCAGUGAGGGUGAAGUGACUUGCCCAGGGUCACACAGCUGGGAAGUGUCUCAGGCCACAUUUGAACCCAGGGCUUCUUGUCUUCAGGCCUGGCUCUCAGUCUGCUGCCCUCGGGCCCAGUCUUUUUGAGUUGGGGUUCCCUCCUGUCCUCGCUCCAGUGAUCAGGCCUUAGCCAGAAAGGAGAGGGGACACCAUCUUCAUUUCCCAAAAGCACUCUGCUCGUCAGGCCAGGACCCGCUGGACUCAUUCCCUUCUAGCUUCUUCUUCCCGUGAG
rnacentral:lncRNA from 1 species